AUAAUUUUGAAUAAAUUUCUUAAAUUAUUCGGUUUAUGUAUUUUUUAAUAUAUACUGCAUUUUUUAUUUUCCCUUACAUAAAAAUAUAUUUAAAAAUAUUUGAUUUAAAAAUAUUUUUGAAUAAUUUUAUUCAAUAUAUUGUCUUAAUUUAUUAGGAUUUUAACAGAAAUUUCUUAUUUUAAUUAAAUAUUAUA
rnacentral:tRNA from 1 species